rnacentral:rRNA from 1 species
GACGAACGCUGGCGGCGUGCUUUACACAUGCAAGUCGAACGGAAAGGCCCUGUCUGUGUGGGGUGCUCGAGUGGCGAACGGGUGAUUAACACGUGAGUAACCUGCCCUUGAGUUUGGGAUAACGUCAGGAAACUUGAUCUAAUACCGGAUAUGAGCUCCUGCUGCAUGGUGGUGGUUGGAAAGUUUCGGCGGUUCGGGAUGGACUCGCGGCUGAUCAGCUUGUGGGUGGGGUAGUGGCUUACCAAGGCUUUGACGGGUAGCCGGCCUGAGAGCGUGACCGGCCACAUGGCUACUGAGGGACGGAGCAGAGUGGAAUGGGAGGCAGCAGUGGAGAAUAUUGCCCAAUGGGCGGAAGCCUAAUGCAGAGGCGCUGGGUGCGUGAUGACGUCUUUUGCGUAGUAAAACGCUUCCGCCUAUGAAGAAGGGUUAGUGACGGUACUGUAUAAAUAAGCACCGGCUAACUACGUG